rnacentral:rRNA from 1 species
UACGUAGGGGGCUAGCGUUGUCCGGAAUCAUUGGGCGUAAAGCGCGUGUAGGCGGUCCGGUAAGUCCGCUGUGAAAGUCGGGGGCUCAACCCUCGGAUGCCGGUGGAUACUGUCGGGCUUGAGUACGGAAGAGGCGAGUGGAAUUCCUGGUGUAGCGGUGAAAUGCGCAGAUAUCAGGAGGAACACCAAAGGCGAAGGCAGCGUCCUGGCAAGCAUCUGACGCUCAUGGGCGAAAGCUAGGGGAGCGAACGGG